CUCCUGUGUAGAGGCAGUUAUCAGAGACGACAACGGGGGAGCGGUUUUUUAACCUACUACAUACAGUUUUCAUAUCUUCCUAGCCCUAUAUACAACCCCCACGUCUACCCUCAUCUCAAGCCCUUCUGCAGAUGUUUCUAAUUUCCUUUCAUUUUCACAUGGAGACACUUUCUAAUUAUGCCCUAAUCGCCGAUCAACAACAACACACUCCGUACGCCAUUGCAUCUUCCACCCCUCACCAAAAUGGUUGAAUAAUAAUUUUGAAAGGCUGAAGUGAAGAACCCUCUGGUAGGCAUUUUUUAUUGCAAUAAUUCUCCAAAAUUACUGCCUCAGAAGCUUCAAAUCGAUGUCAUCGUCUGAUGAGUUUGUUCAUUUUAAUCCCUUGGUUAAAGGAGUUGUGCAGAGUAGGGCUUUAAGAUACAAUGGUCGAAUUAUUCGACCCUAGAAAGAUGGUCACGGAUUAUGACUGUUCUGCUGAAGAGGAUUACUGCGACCACUGCGACUUUGCUUUCACUUUUGCCUUCAACGAUCCCAAUUUCUCCGAUCGUGUUCUUGGCAUCCAUAUUUUAACUGCGCCGAUCGAGUCUACACCAGAAAUAUAGAAAAAGAAACUCAAAAUUUAAAGGAUAUGACAGCUCGAAUUAUCUCCAAAAAAAUGGCACUGAUUCUAACCGAAAGUUUUGGUAGCCAUAUGCAAGAAGCAAGACCUUAGAUUUCGUCCACAAGCUCUUUUCAAACGGGAUGAGUGAGUCAACACAACGCUUUGUAACCUUGCAAAUCAAUGCUUCAGAGGAAGGUGCCUUCAUGGAACUACUCAACUUUAUGUAUAGCAGUAAAUAGACAGUUACAACUUCUCCAGAUGUGCUUGAUGUGCUAAAAGUUGCUGACAAAUUUAUGCUGACAAUGUUCUGAUCAAAACAACAGAUGUUGGUUCAGCAGGGAGCGAGCACUAUUUGAGCACUAUAAAAUUCAUUGAUGCUGUAGCAAACUAGCUGAAGUCAAGGCUUGUGGGGAAAUCAUCACUGCAUUUGUAUCUUUCAGGGCUGUGCUAUUGGUCUACUAAUUGCUUUGCUGCGACUUCUUGGUGGAAACAAUGGGAUUUUACAAGGGAUGGUCUCCAUGAGAAGAGU
rnacentral:lncRNA from 1 species